rnacentral:SRP_RNA from 1 species
CUUUGGUUCUCCCGCGACGAGAAGUUGUGAACCCCGUCAGGCCCGGAAGGGAGCAGCGGCAACAAUGGAUCGGGUGCCGGGAAUCGGCUGGGGCGA